rnacentral:rRNA from 1 species
CAACAGUGUAUGCUAAAGUUGUUGACGGUUGAAAAAGCUCGUAGUUGGAUUUUGGGCGGGCGCAACCGGUCCGUCGCAGGGCGUGUCACUGGUUGCGUUCGCCUCACCUUCGGUUCUCCGUCGGUGCUCUUGACUGAGUGUCGGCGGUGGCCGAUAAGUUUACUUUGAAAAAAUUAGAGUGUUCAAAGCAGGCUGCUCGCCUGCAUAGUGUUGCAUGGAAUAAUGGAAUAGGACCUCGGUUCUAUUUUGUGGUUUUCGGAGCGCGAGGUAAUGAUUAAGAGGGACAGACGGGGGCGUCCGUACUCUGCCGUUAGAGGUGAAAUUCUUGGAUCGGCGGAAAGACGAAACUACUGCGAAAAGCAAUUCGCCAAAGAAUGUUUUCUUUAAAUCAAAGAGCGAAAAGUCAGAGGUUCGAAG